GGAAGUUCUAGGGUGAUGCACCCUGGAAUCAGGCUCCCUCCUCUCUGGUUCUGGGUGGUCAUGGCACAUCA
rfam:Myotis brandtii contig279053, whole genome shotgun sequence.